rnacentral:rRNA from 1 species
CGGACGGGUGAGUAACACGUGGAUAACCUACCUAUAAGACUGGGAUAACUUCGGGAAACCGGAGCUAAUACCGGAUAAUAUAUUGAACCGCAUGGUUCAAUAGUGAAAGACGGUUUUGCUGUCACUUAUAGAUGGAUCCGCGCUGCAUUAGCUAGUUGGUAAGGUAACGGCUUACCAAGGCAACGAUGCGUAGCCGACCUGAGAGGGUGAUCGGCCACACUGGAACUGAGACACGGUCCAGACUCCUACGGUAGGCAGCAGGC